UACGUAGGGCGCAAGCGUUGUCCGGAAUUAUUGGGCGUAAAGAGCUCGUAGGCGGCCUGUUGCGUCCGCUGUGAAAUCCCGAGGCUCAACCUCGGGCCUGCAGUGGGUACGGGCAGACUAGAGUGCGGUAGGGGAGAUUGGAAUUCCUGGUGUAGCGGUGGAAUGCGCAGAUAUCAGGAGGAACACCGAUGGCGAAGGCAGAUCUCUGGGCCGUAACUGACGCUGAGGAGCGAAAGCGUGGGGAGCGAACAGG
rnacentral:rRNA from 1 species